AAAGGAGCCAUUUAGGAUUUUAAUACGUUAUAAGGAAUAGUAUGAGGAACUUCCGUUUAAUAACAAGAAUAACAGCGAUGGCAAAACAAGCUUAAAACGGCAGAGAACGCCGGAAACCACAAUGGACACACAAGAUUGAAUGUUCCGGCAUUAGAGAAACGGAAAAAAGACCAGGUUUGACUGAGAAUGUCAAGGUACAAUUGAAUAGACAGGCAAAGAAAGAUGGUAGAGCAUAACGCUGUUAUUGAAACGGACCAUCAGCUUGAAUUAGAAUUCCCAUUCAUUCUAAACGGCAAUGAUAAAUUUCAACGUGAGUUAUUUAUUUAUUUUGCUUUGAAUGUUAAUUGAAUAUUUUUUAGCUCAGGUUUUGCGUUGCGUUUUCCCCUUCCGCAUUUAUAUCAUAAGCUAGUCAUUCAAUAAUUGAUACCGACACAAGUGAAUAUUUACCAUUUAUAAAG